rnacentral:rRNA from 1 species
UGCUCAGGAUGAACGCUGGCGGCGUGCCUAAUACAUGCAAGUCGAGCGAAUGAUGAGGAGCUUGCUCCUCUGAUUUAGCGGCGGACGGGUGAGUAACACGUGGGUAAUCUGCCUGUAAGACGGGGAUAACUCCGGGAAACCGGGGCUAAUACCGGAUAAUAAGAGAAGAAGCAUUUCUUCUUUUUGAAAGUCGGUUUCGGCUGACACUUACAGAUGAGCCCGCGGCGCAUUAGCUAGUUGGUGAGGUAACGGCUCACCAAGGCGACGAUGCGUAGCCGACCUGAGAGGGUGAUCGGCCACACUGGGACUGAGACACGGCCCAGACUCCUACGGGAGGCAGCAGUAGGGAAUCUUCGGCAAUGGGCGAAAGCCUGACCGAGCAACGCCGCGUGAGCGAUGAAGGCCUUCGGGUCGUAAAGCUCUGUUGUUAGAGAAGAACAAGUACGAGAGUAACUGCUCGUAC